GGGGAAUAUUGCACAAUGGAGGGAACUCUGAUGCAGCGACGCCGCGUGAACGAAGGAGGCUUUCGAGUCGUAAAGUUCUUUUAUAUGGGAAGAUAAUGACGGUACCAUAAGAAAAAGCCCCGGCUAACUACGUGCCAGCAGCCGCGGUAAUACGUAGGGGGCUAGCGUUGUCCGGAAUCACUGGGCGUAAAGGGUUCGCAGGCGGAAAUGCAAGUCAGAUGUAAAAGGCAGUAGCUUAACUACUGUAAGCAUUUGAAACUGCAUAUCUUGAGAAGAGUAGAGGUAAGUGGAAUUUUUAGUGUAGCGGUGAAAUGCGUAGAUAUUAAAAAGAAUACCGGUGGCGAAGGCGACUUACUGGGCUCAUUCUGACGCUGAGGAACGAAAGCGUGGGUAGCAAACAGGAUUAGAUACCCUGGUAGUCCACGCUGUAAACGAUGAGUGCUAGGUGUCGGCGAAUGUCGGUGCCGCAGUUAACACAAUAAGCACUCCGCCUGGGGAGUACGUGCGCAAGCAUG
rnacentral:rRNA from 1 species